GCAGAAUUUCCAGGUACUAGUUUGAGCUGCAUAUCGAACCUUCCAAAUAAAUAUUCAUUCUUAGACUGAAAUCCUGAACCUGAAAUUUUGUCAAGGGACAAGGCGAGAAGGCGCCCACCAUCUUGUAUCUGAGCUCGCUGAUCACCAAAGGUAACCGUUGCAUCUUGGUAGAAAUUGUCAGCCCAAACAGGACAUAGCAAGAGAAGUAGAGCAAGAACAGAUAGCUGCUGCAGCAACAUUAUAGGAAAUCUUAAGGAAUAUGUAGUUAGUUGUUUUUGGGAAUGUAUGUUUGAAAUU
rnacentral:misc_RNA from 1 species